rnacentral:misc_RNA from 1 species
GAUCAAUCCAUUUCUUCCAACCACUUUAAAAAAAUUGAAUGACUUAAUUUGAUUGUAUCUCAUUUUCUUAUUAUUUUGUCAUUCCAUAUAGAAUUCUUAAAUGAAAACUUUGCUUCAUAAUAUUAUGUUUUUGAGAACAGAAGAUGAGAGACAAGGAUAGAGGAAAAAGAGAGGGACAGUAGAUAAAACAAAUUGUUAUUUUUAUGUGGCUUGAAUU